rnacentral:tRNA from 1 species
GCCCCUGUAGCCCAAUCGGCACGAGGCGCUUUGUUUAGGGCAAAGAGGUUACUGGUUCAAGUCCAGUCAGGGGCA